GACGAACGCUGGCGGCGUGCUUAACACAUGCAAGUCGAACGGAAAGGCCCUGCUUUUGUGGGGUGCUCGAGUGGCGAACGGGGGAGUAACACGUGAGUAACCUGCCCCUGACUUUGGGAUAACUCCAGGAAACUGGGGCUAAUACCGGAUAGGAGCUCCUGCUGCAUGGUGGGGGUUGGAAAGUUUCGGCGGUUGGGGAUGGGCUCGCGGCUUAUCAGCUUGUUGGUGGGGUAGUGGCUUACCAAGGCUUUGACGGGUAGCCGGCCUGAGCGGGUGACCGGCCACAUUGGGACUGAGAUACGGCCCGGGCUCCUACGGGAGGCAGCAGUGGGGAAGAUUGCAGAAUGGGCGGAGGCCUGAUGCAGCAACGCCGCGUGCGGUAUGACGGCCUUCGGGUUGUAAACCACUUUCGCCUGUGACGAAGCGUGAGUGACGGUAAUGGGUAAAGAAGCACCGGCUAACUACGUG
rnacentral:rRNA from 1 species